AUACGAAAGGUGCAAGCGUUGUUCGGAUUUACUGGGCGUAAAGAGGGUGUAGGUGGUUUAUUAAGUCGGAUGUGAAAUCCCGGGGCUCAACCUCGGAACUGCAUUCGAUACUGAUAGGCUAGAGUUUGGGAGGGGUAAGCGGAAUUCCGUGUGUAGCAGUGAAAUGCGUAGAUAUACGGAGGAACACCUGAGGCGAAGGCGGCUUACUGGACCAAUACUGACACUGAGACUCGAAAGCGUGGGUAGCAAACAGGAUUAGAAACCCCAGUAGUCC
rnacentral:rRNA from 1 species